rnacentral:tRNA from 2 species
GGGCCUGUGGCGCAAUUGGCUAGCGUGCCUCCAUGGCAUGGAGGAGGUUGUGGGUUCGAGUCCCAUCAGGUCCACCA